GGAGCGGAGCCCCUCCCUUCUGCUGGCCGCGCGGAGUGGGAGCCCCAGGUGCAACGGAGAAGCCGGGUUCACGGGUCCAGGAACUGGUGACCCUUUCCUACCCCCCAUCCCCCCACCACAGUGCUACCCACCGCGUUCUCCCCGCCGCCGCGUGGCAAUGAGCAGCCCGGUCAGCAAGCCGCCUCCCGAGCUCCUCGGUGAGUACCGGGGAUGUCCCAAUCCCUGCCAGACGCGGGUCCUACUGUGGCGCACAGAGCGUGCGGGGUCGGAGCCGGGGGACAAGCCCGCACACUGGUCUGAUAGAUGUCCCCCGGUCCAGAGAGGCCAUCAGCCCCGCGAUGGCGCGCUGUUUCUUUGUGUGGGGCUUAGGAAGGGUCCGUGACCCGAGGGAGGGAAAGGCCGAGCCUUAGGCAACCAGGCACCCCCACCCCCCACCCCCUCACAAGUCAAGUCAAGCGGUCAGGGUCAACUUCGCACCAGGGAGCCCGGGCCAACGUCAAGCAAACUCCAAGAAACUCCCAACAGCUCUUUCUGGCCCACACUCCCCGGGACAGGCGCAGAUCCUGCCGGAUCCGCUGUCUUUGACUCUGGGAGUAUGACAAACAAACAAGAUUGUCUUUAUAAAGGCUUUAACUUCUUGGGUGACUGGAGCAGCGAGAGAGUCUCCGGAUGUAGGAAACUUUGAUGGGCCUCCCCGCCCGCCCUCCCUGCUCUCCUCGACUUUGGGGCUUUUGCAAUCCAAAAUUUUGUUUUUAAAAGAACACGACUGUUUAUUCGUUUUGCUCCUCACCUCAGAGAGGAAUUCCUCAGAUUCUACACACUGUUCUCUAACACAAUUAUAAAAUAAUAUAAACCUUUUUUUUUCAAAUUUUAAUUUUAAUUUUAAUUUUCUUUUGAGACAGAGUAAGUUAGGCUAGUUUGUAGACCGGACCAGGCCAUGUUGUCAAAGAUGACUUUAAAUUUCUGAUCCUUCUACUCUCCACCUCCAAGGUAUUGUGAGUAGGUGGAUGUGGCACCAUGCAGGGUUUUUACCAUAUUACUGAGGGGACUCAGGGCUCCAUGCAUGUGAGGCGAGCCUGCUACCAACUGAACUACACCCCCCAGUGUGCCACCCCUCUUUGGUUAAGUCCUGUAAAUAUAGGUGGUGGAGGCCUCUUGGGACCCCUGUCUUGUGUGGCUUGGAGAUAGGUACCUUAUAUUGAGGCUUGUGUGGUUGGCGAUUAUGUGCCCCAUACGUGUCACCAGUACAUAAUAUCCUGUAUAUUGCAUGUAUUGGGGUCACUUCUACGACAUCUAUUAGCUCCAGCUUCAGCAUCCACAAAGUAAGACUUUUCAUGGAAUAUUCUCAUUGGGUUGUGAGAUUGAGCUGCCUAUCAACAAACACUUGAGAGUUGAGGCUGAGACAUCCAAGGUGUUUACAAAUGUCUACCACCCCGAGGUGAACUUUACCAGAGAGUGUGGAUUGCAGCGUUCGCAUGCAUUUGUUUCCGUGUGUAUCUGACUCAAGUUCCCGUGUGUGGGUGCACUGAUACCUGUGUGAACAGAUUUGCCUCAGUGUGUGUGGAUGCACGGAAACACGUGUGAACACAUGCUUAGGACCUGGGUUAAGGAACAGGAAGUCAGGACUGCUGUAUUUAUUUCAUCUCUGACACCGUGGAAGUCUAGGCUGCAGACUCUCGGGUCUGAUCAGGGUCACCUGAUUCCCCCAAACACCUCUCUGAGAUUUUCGUUUCAGGCCUUGCUUGGAUAAUAGGGACAAACCCCUUUCUGCCGGGGCUGUAGGGUAUAACCUUUACUUAAGUAGCUUACCAAAUAACUUUCCCCAUUGGAUUAGUGGCAAGGUCCCUGCCAUAGGAGACCCCUGGGAUCCUGUUUCUUGCUGCUAACUCAGACAGGAUGUAUCUAUAUCCUGUCUCCAUGAUGAAGCCAUAGUUACUAAGAGCCUCGGAGCAGAGAGAAUUGACUUCCUUGUGUCAGCUCUGCUCUGACGUUGCAGGGUUUGGGGAUUCUGCUAGGCCUGAUUGUCACUACUAUUACCAGCAAGUUAUGCACAGGCAGUUUGGUGCCUUGCCCUUGGUUGAAAGGGGUCACAGCUCAGUGUAGAGAUGCCAGGUUUGGCAGCUUUAUAUAGAAUUUGCUGUUGCUGGCAGAGGCAGAGAGGGUGACGAGAAGUGCCAAGUGAAAUUACAUCUCAAGCCUUGUGCAAUCCCUCUAGAUAUUGGGGACAUUUCGAGUCUCGUGGGACUGGCACAGUAAGUGCAUUGGACCUUUCCCAGGGUACCCUUGGUUGGGCAAGUAUUUUAGUGGCUUGCAAAACACUCUGGAAAGCAGGGAACUAUGGGUUCAGUGUGUGCAGUAGAUGUGGGUAACUGCUUCCAUGGUGAGUGGGGAAAGGUUCGGUCAUCUCUGGGUAGCUGGUGCAGCCAUCUUCGUAAGUGGAAUGUGGCCUAUAUAUGAUUAUAAGUUUUCAGGAUAAAAUGCCCUAUCCCAUGGUUUAAUCUAUGAGAGAAAUAUUUUAUGUGUUUAAAAUGUUAACGACUCAGAAACUGUCCUCCUAAAGGUCAUGCCAGUGUGUGUGUGUGUGUGUGUGCGUGUGUGCGUGUGUGUACACAUGUUUAUUCAUGUGUAUGAGGGCGCACCUGUUUAUGCAGGCAUGCAAGCAAGCCAGCUGAUUGCCUCUGCUGUCAUUUCUCAGGUGUGCUGUUCCUCUUGUGCUUCCGACAGGGCCUGUCACUGUCCUGGAACUCAGCAGACUGGCCUCACAGUGAGCACCAGGGACCUUCGUCUCUAUCUCCAUUUCCCCAGGGCCAGAGUUUCAAUAAGUGCUACCACUCCCAGCAUUUUCACAUGGGUCCUGGACAUCAAAUCCAGGUUCUCUCUUGGGUAGCAGGUAGUUUAGGAACUGAGUCUCCAGUCCUGCACCAGUUUCUAAUGUCCAUCACCACUUAUGAGACUAGCAAAUCACCACAUUCUUGCUCAGUCUUGCCAUCUCCCCUAAACCAAUGGGUAGGAAACAUGGUCACUUCAGAAUACGCCUCUCUAUCUAGAAGAGAGCCUAAGUAUGUUUUAUGGCUCUGAUAAGACAUGCUAUUACUUUUGGUGGGAAGUGCCUGCCAGAGCCCAGUUCAUCCACCUCUCUAUCUGUCCACGUGGGGUGUCAGACCUGGGCGUUCACUGGCUUUGGGAGGAAUCACAAUAUCUCAAUGUCUCAGCUUUCCCCUCUGCUGGUGGGAAGAGCAACCAACUCCAACUUCACAGUAUUCACCUAGGGAACAGAAGUGACCUGGAGCCAUGCCUAGCAAUGCUGGCUUUGAAGAAAGCAAAAUGGCUUGCAGAUGUGGGUCCUCUCUGCCAUCUCCCAGCAGCAGGUGGCUGUUAGUUCACAGUGUGAUGACAGUAUUAGUGCUUUUAGGCCAAGCCCUGGUGUGGACCUUGCCUGGGUCACUCCACCAUGCUUGAAGUAAUGGGUAUUUGGCAGAAGGACUGGAGGGUCAGCGAGGACUUCGUGGCUCAGGCUUCCAACCUACUAAGUACAAAACCAGGUUGUCAGACCCUGCAGACAUCUGAGGUCCACCUGAGUGGGUGUUGGUGCCUAAAAAGGCCUGUGGCCAGCGAGCACAUGCAAGGCACAGUGUUCUGCUCACUGCACGAAUGGUGUCUGAGUAGCCAGAGCAGAGCCCUGGGUGACAGCUGCCAGGCAUUCCAGAGUUCUCCAGUCAGGUCCGCGUUCCCACUGUGAUCUCUGUCCACCUCCUGACACUACCGCUCCCUUUUCUGUGGUCAGAGCUGCCUCGCUCUGCUUGCAUCUUCCCUGAUGGCCCUCAUGCACCAGCCCAUGCUGUCUGCCUUUCCAGCUUCACCCUCCGAAACAACCUGUAUCCAGCUCCUAGAUGUCAGGACACCCUCCCCUGAACACAUCUACUUGUCUAUCAAGAACUUGUUUAUGUAGUUCAACUUUCAACUCA
rnacentral:lncRNA from 1 species